UAUAAAAAAAAAGGCAUGACACCAGAUGGGAAAUAAUGCUUAUUAUCACACAUAUUGAAAACAACAAUUCCACCUAUUUAUAGGAUCUCACCACCCUUCAUAUUACGUCCACUCAAAAUCUUCAUAAACAAAUUUCACCAGUAUUCCUCUCUUCUUCUUCACAAGAAAAAAGAAAAACUUCAAAGUGAACAAAAUGUGUAUAAGUUCUACAGAAUGGAGUAAUUCAUCACGUCCUCUUUAUUUUUCUAUGCAGAAAAAACAAAGACCAAAGAUCUCUCGAGUUCAACUUCAUAGGCUUGCAAGGAGGAAAAGAAGUGAGGGAAAAGAAACUAAGGUGGAUAUGGAAAUGAGAAACUUGAAGCUUUACAUGGAAAAUAUGAGUAUUUUAGAGGAAAAUGAGAAAUUGAGAAAGAAAGCAAGUCUCCUCCAUCAAGAAAAUAUUGUUUUGAUGUCUGAAUUUCAAAAGAAAUUUUCUAAGUUUGAUAGAGUCUCUACCAAAGAGACCCCCCAUCCACCCACUCCUAAAUUGACAAAAUAACUUUUUUUUUUUUUAAUUAUGAGAGAAAAGUGUGGAUGAAAAAUAAUGUAUUUAAUUUUGUAUGUGUACAUGUCUUAUUCAAGCUACAAUAUCUGCUACUUGUUCUUCAUAAAUUACUUUCAUUUUACAUUGUUAUAAGGGCUAAUUUGGUCCUUUAUCGGUAAA